GAACGCGAAGAACCUUACCACCUUUGACAUCCCGAGACGACUUCCAGAGAUGGAUUUCCUCCCGCAAGGGACUCGGUGACAGGUGCUGCAUGGCUGUCGUCAGCUMGUGUCGUGAGAUGUUGGGUUAAGUCCCGCAACGAGCGCAACCCUCGCCUUUAGUUGCCAUCAUUCAGUUGGGCACUCUAGAGGAACCGCCGGUGAUAAGCCGGAGGAAGGUGGGGAUGACGUCAAGUCCUCAUGGCCCUUACGGGUUGGGCUACACACGUGCUACAAUGGUGGUGACAAUGGGUUAAUCCCCAAAAGCCAUCUCAGUUCGGAUUGGGGUCUGCAACUCGACCCCAUGAAGUCGAAAUCGCUAGUAAUCGCGUAACAGCA
rnacentral:rRNA from 1 species